CCUACGGGAGGCAGCAGUGGGGAAUCUUGGGCAAUGGGCGAAAGCCUGACCCAGCGACGCCGCGUGGGGGAUGAAGGCCUUCGGGUUGUAAACCCCUGUCAGGUGGGACGAUGGUUCGCUGACCUAAUACGUCGGCGGAUUGACGGUACCACCAGAGGAAGCCCCGGCUAACUACGUGCCAGCAGCCGCGGUAAUACGUAGGGGGCAAGCGUUGCUCGGAUUUACUGGGCGUAAAGGGCGUGUAGGCGGCCAGGCAAGUCGGGGGUAAAAGCCCUGGGCUCAACCGGGGUGCCGCGCCUGAAACUGCUGGGCUUGAGUCUGGAAGAGGAGGGUGGAAUUCCCGGGGUAGGGGUGAAAUGCGUAGAGAUCGGGAGGAACACCGGUGGCGAAGGCGGCCCCCGGGUCCAGUACUGACGCUGAGGCGCGAAAGCUAGGGGAGCAAACGGGAUUAGAUACCCCGGUAGU
rnacentral:rRNA from 1 species